GAUGAACGCUAGCGGCAGGCUUAAUACAUGCAAGUCGAGGGGCAGCAGCUUUGUAGCAAUACAAGGGCUGGCGACCGGCAAACGGGUGCGGAACACGUACGCAACCUUCCUUUAACUGGGAGAUAGCCCACCGAAGGGUGGAUUAAUAUCCCAUAGUAUAUUUGAGUGGCAUCACUUAGAUAUUAAAGCUCCGGCGGUUAAAGAUGGGCGUGCGUCUGAUUAGGUAGUUGGCGGGGUAACGGCCCACCAAGCCCACGAUCAGUAGCUGAUGUGAGAGCAUGGUCAGCCACACGGGCACUGAGACACGGGCCCGACUCCUACGGGAGGCAGCAGUAAGGAAUAUUGGUCAAUGGACGCAAGUCUGAACCAGCCAUGCCGCGUGGAGGAUGAAGGCCCUCUGGGUUGUAAACUUCUUUUCUUUGGGACGAAACCCCUGUUUCUACGGGGACUGACGGUACCAGAGGAAUAAGCACCGGCUAACUCCGUGCCAGCCGCCGCCGUAA
rnacentral:rRNA from 1 species